rnacentral:lncRNA from 1 species
UGACCUCUCCAAUGCCAGGGACUAGCCCAGCCACACCCCCAGGGACACACAGAAUGCACUCUGACCUCAGGGACUCCUGACCCCUUGUAGCAUCUUCUCUCUCCCAGGAGGAGUGGGGCAGACGCACGGACACAAACACAUCUUCCCUCGAGGUUUCUGAAGCAAAAACAUUCAGCCGCAGGGAGCUUAGUGCCAGUCCAGGAGGCAGAGCUGCCCAAGGGAAAAGGGGGCCCGGCCUCACUGGACCACAGGCUGCUUUUCGAGAAACACACCAGCUCAACCGCCACAAACUUCACGUGGAGGUCACGGCUCCCCAGUGCGGAAAGGGCCGUGAGGAUGAGGAUGCCGGGCUUCAAGUCUGCCACCCGAGUGGGUCUAGAUGGCCUCCGAGGGACAGGAGCAUGAGAGCCAGCACGAGGGCCCACCUCCGAGGAGGCGGGGGCAGGAUGGGCCUCCCCUGCCCCCGGCCGCGGGGGCGGGG